GCUCCGGUGGCCUAGUGGUUAGAGCGUCUGCCUCAGAUGCGGGAGGUCGUGUGCUCGAUCCCCGUCGAAUCA